UAGAGGUUGCGACCUUGAUAGAAAAUGAUGAAGAAAAACAUUUCUUUUAAAUAAAGAUGAGUUACAAAUCAAGGAAAAUUCCAAGACAACAAUUAAAUGAAAGCCAGACUUGCACCAACUCCAGUGAAGAAUACAAAAACGCUUCCAGCAUAUGGUUAACGUGCUUUCCUAAUGAGCUUUUAUUUUAAUAUCGGACUUCAUUCCAAGGCAGUGUAGGGGGAUGGGAUGAAAUUAGGUAUUGCCACGACCAUUAUAAAACGCACAAGAGAAACAGCAUUCAAAAUAGUAAAAUACUAGUCACAGAAAAACCAACAUUAAACUCAUGACAUGCCUAGAAAUGGAUAACAAAAACAGCAAUAAAGGAAGCUAAAAGCUGUUCACCAAAACAUGCUAAAUUCUUGGAUAGAU